rnacentral:misc_RNA from 1 species
GAUGAAGAACGUAGUGAAAUGCGAUAAGUAAUGUGAAUUGCAGAAUUCAGUGAAUCAUCGAAUCUUUGAACGCACAUUGCGCCCGCCAGUAUUCUGGCGGGCAUGCCUGUUCGAGCGUCAUUACAACCCUCAGGCCCCCGGGCCUGGCGUUGGGGAUCGGCGGAGCCCCCCGUGGGCACACACCGUCCCCCAAAUGCAGUGGCGGUCCCGCCGCAGCUUCCAUCGCGUAGUAGCUAACACCUCGCGACUGGAGAGCGGCGCGGCCACGCCGUAAAACACCCAACUCUUCUGAAGUUGACCUCGAAUCAGGUAGGAAUACCCGCUGAACUUAAGCAUAUCAAUAAGCGGAGGA